UGCCGGUGUGGCGGAAUUGGCAGACGCGCUGGACUCAAAAUCCAGUUCCCGUUGAGGGAGUAUCGGUUCGACCCCGAUCACCGGUAUC
rnacentral:tRNA from 1 species